UUGAACGCUGGCGGCAGGCCUAACACAUGCAAGUCGAGCGGUAGCACAGAGAGCUUGCUCUCGGGUGACGAGCGGCGGACGGGUGAGUAAUGUCUGGGAAACUGCCUGAUGGAGGGGGAUAACUACUGGAAACGGUAACUAAUACCGCAUAAUGUCGCAAGACCAAAGUGGGGGACCUUCGGGCCUCAUGCCAUCAGAUGUGCCCAGAUGGGAUUAGCUAGUAGGUGGGGUAACGGCUCACCUAGGCGACGAUCCCUAGCUGGUCUGAGAGGAUGACCAGCCACACUGGAACUGAGACACGGUCCAGACUCCUACGGGAGGCAGCAGUGGGGAAUAUUGCACAAUGGGCGCAAGCCUGAUGCAGCCAUGCCGCGUGUGUGAAGAAGGCCUUCGGGUUGUAAAGCACUUUCAGCGGGGAGGAAGGCGUUAAGGUUAAUAACCUUGGCGAUUGACGUUACCCGCAGAAGAAGCACCGGCUAACUCCGUGCCAGCAGCCGCGGUAAUACGGAGGGUGCAAGCGUUAAUCGGAAUUACUGGGCGUAAAGCGCACGCAGGCGGUCUGUCAAGUCGGAUGUGAAAUCCCCGGGCUCAACCUGGGAACUGCAUUCGAAACUGGCAGGCUAGAGUCUUGUAGAGGGGGGUAGAAUUCCAGGUGUAGCGGUGAAAUGCGUAGAGAUCUGGAGGAAUACCGGUGGCGAAGGCGGCCCCCUGGACAAAGACUGACGCUCAGGUGCGAAAGCGUGGGGAGCAAACAGGAUUAGAUACCCUGGUAGUCCACGCCGUAAACGAUGUCGAUUUGGAGGUUGUGCCCUUGAGGCGUGGCUUCCGGAGCUAACGCGUUAAAUCGACCGCCUGGGGAGUACGGCCGCAAGGUUAAAACUCAAAUGAAUUGACGGGGGCCCGCACAAGCGGUGGAGCAUGUGGUUUAAUUCGAUGCAACGCGAAGAACCUUACCUGGUCUUGACAUCCACAGAACUUUCCAGAGAUGGAUUGGUGCCUUCGGGAACUGUGAGACAGGUGCUGCAUGGCUGUCGUCAGCUCGUGUUGUGAAAUGUUGGGUUAAGUCCCGCAACGAGCGCAACCCUUAUCCUUUGUUGCCAGCGGUUCGGCCGGGAACUCAAAGGAGACUGCCAGUGAUAAACUGGAGGAAGGUGGGGAUGACGUCAAGUCAUCAUGGCCCUUACGACCAGGGCUACACACGUGCUACAAUGGCAUAUACAAAGAGAAGCGACCUCGCGAGAGCAAGCGGACCUCAUAAAGUAUGUCGUAGUCCGGAUUGGAGUCUGCAACUCGACUCCAUGAAGUCGGAAUCGCUAGUAAUCGUAGAUCAGAAUGCUACGGUGAAUACGUUCCCGGGCCUUGUACACACCGCCCGUCACACCAUGGGAGUGGGUUGCAAAAGAAGUAGGUAGCUUAACCUUCGGGAGGGCGCUUACCACUUUGUGAUUCAUGACUGGGGUG
rnacentral:rRNA from 1 species